GUAUAUGUUUUAGUAGUAAUAAGUAUUGACUUAUGAAUGAACUGACUCCUUGUAUGCUUCUUGAAACUAAAAGUAGUAANUAGUAUAACCCUAUACCUAUUAUAGUUUAUUAGUAAUUUGAGGGAUGAGUGAAUGUACUGAACUAUGAUAUAAAUCUUUAUGUCUAUACAUAUCCAUAUAAUAUAUAAAUAAGGAUUCAACGACACUCGGACAAAUAACCGGGUACUUUAGGACCACAACCAAACAAGGAACAGGAAGUAAAGUGGGUUAUUUCUCCUAAGUCCUUCAAGCUUUAUUUAUAUGACUAUAUAUGCAUCAGGCAUGGUUUUUAACAAUAUAAGAGUUUAAAAACAUGUAAAAUAGUUUAAUAACAGUUUAAAGUCACUUGCUUGGUAAAACAGUUUGAAGUAAUUAAACUUCCAAUAAUAUACUAGUUAUUAAUCACAUGUGAUUGAUCUAAUAACUUAUCAUGAUUCAACUUGUAUUCUCCCCCAUAAAAACAUUUAAAACAAUUCAAAGGUUGAUUAAUAGGGGUAUGAACUCACCGGUAGUGAGUGGUUCUGAUGACAAUGUUGGAUUAGUUGCUAGGUGUCAAGUGGUGACUUGAGUACACACGCGAAUCCUAUUUAGCAUAUAUCGGCACAUAUAUGAAUAUAAUUAGUGUUAUAAACAACUAAUUAAUGAAUUUGGGACCACCUUAGGUACUAGUAAACACUUAAAAUGAAGUGUUUCAAUCAUAUAUGAUUGUAUGAAGGGUUAUAAGGCUAUACAAGAAAGUGUAUGGCCAAAAUACACACUACAUGUGUGUGUGCGGCCAUGUGUGCGGCCUGGUGUGCGGCCAUGUGUGCGGCCAGGUGUGCUGCCAGAUGGUGUGUGCUGCCAGAAACAUGAUGUUCUUGGUGUUCUUGGUGAAAGUUGUUACCUUUUGGAUGAUACUUGAGAGGAUUUUGAGUCCUUGCUUUGAAGAAAUGUAAGAAAUGAUCAAGAGACCAAGGAUUUCAUAUAUAGAGGAGGUGAGUGUGGCUGGAGGUGUGUGUGGUUGGGUGUGUGCGGCUGGCUGGCCGCACACUCUAGUGUGCCGCUGCACACACCUAACUUGGUGUGUUUGGCCCGUUUUUCCAAUGCUACACUCUAUCUAUCCCAUCCUCCGACAUGUAUCUCAAUUAUACUAAGCUUUAAGCACUCAUUUAGACUCAAAAACCUCAUUAUAGAAUAGCAAAACGAAGCAAAUCUUUAAUAACAAGGAAGAAUGAAAGCUAAAAAUUUCGGGUUGUCACAUCAUCCCCCUGUUGAAGGGAUUUUCGUCCCGAAAUUAGAGUCUAAGCAAAUAAGUUAUUUACAGAAAACUAAGCGAAUAGAUGAGGAUAUAUCAAUUUCAUUUGAUCCUCGCGCUCCCAUGUGAAUUCCGGUCCCCGCUUGGCGUUCCAGCGAACCUUCACAAUCGGGAUGCGGCUUUGUUUCGUCUGUUUGACUUCACGGUCCAUGACCUUUACAGGUUCUUCCACGAAGUUGAGGCUCUCGUGGUUCUCGAUCUCGUCGAGUGGGAUUACAAGAUUCUCGUGGGACAAACACUUUUUCAAGUUCGAAACGUGGAAGGUAGGAUGUACAUUACUAAGUUCGCUCGGUAGGUUGAGUUUGUAAGCUACUGGGCCGAUUCUUGCGAGUAUCUCGAAAGGCCCAAUGUACCUUGGAUUUAGCUUUCCACGCUUUCCGAAGCGUAUUAAGCCCUUCCCGGGUGAGAACUUCAAUAAAACACGGUCGCCCACCUGGAAUUCCAAUGGUUUUCUACGUUUAUCGGCGCAGCUUUUCUGUCGGUCUCUGGAGGCUUUCAAUCGUUCACGGAUCUGAACGAUCUCCCCCGUCAUUUCCCGAAUGAUUUUCGGGCCUAUGCUUGUACUGUCAGAAACUUGCCCCUUUGCUAACUGGGUGUCACCCACUUCAGCCCAGCACAGAGGGGAUCUGCACUUUCAGCCAUAGAGGGCUUCAAAUGGGGCAGCCUUGAUGCUCGUGUGAUAACUGUUAUUGUAGGAAAAUUCGACAAGAGGUAAAUGAGUAUCCCAUGCCUUUCCAAAGUCAAUCACACAGGCUCUCAGCAUAUCUUCUAGUGUUUGAAUGGUUCUCUCACUUUGCCCGUCGGUCUGAGGAUGGUAGGUUGUGCUCAUGUCUAGCCUUGUUCCUAGGGAAUGUUGCAACGAUUGCCAGAAUCUUGAGGUAAACCUACUAUCUCUAUCGGAGAUAAUGGAUAUAGGAACACCAUGCAGUCGUACGAUUUCCCUAAUGUAUGUUCUCGUAAGCUUCUCCAUCUUAUCAGUUUCCUUGAUAGGAAGGAAGUGUGCAGACUUGGUCAAUCUAUCGACGAUGACCCAUAUGGUAUCAAGUCCACCCGUUGUCUUGGGCAACUUGGUUAUGAAAUCCAUAGUGAUCCGCUCCCACUUCCAUUCUGGGAUCUCUGGUUGUUGCAGUAAACCAGAGGGUUUCUGGUACUCGACCUUAACCUUUGCGUAAGUAAGGCAUUUACUUACGAAGGUUGCAAUCUCUGCUUUCAUGUUAGGCCAUCAGUAUAACUUCUUAAGAUCCAGAUACAUCUUAUCUGAACCUGGGGGGACGGAAUAUCGAGUGUUGUGCGCUUCGGUCAUGACCAAGUCUCGAAAACCACCGUGUUUCGGGGUCCAGAUCCGGUCCAUGAAAUAUAGGGCUCCGCCACCCUUGGUUUCUAAGUUCUUGUCCAUUCCUCUAAGGGAUUCACUCACCACAUGUUCAGGUUUCAAGGCUUCAAGUUGAGCCUCCUGAAUUUGUGUAGACAAGUGUGAAUGGAUCGUCAUCGUCAAUGAUUUGACUCUUCGACCAGAAUAUUCUUUCUAACUUAGGGCGUCUGCUACUACGUUGGCUUUACCCGGAUGAUAACGAAUGUCGCAUUCGUAGUCAUUGAGUAGCUCGACCCAUCGUCGUUGGCGCAUAUUGAGCUCCUUCUGAUCGAAUAUGUGUUGUAAACUCUUGUGGUCAGUGAAAAUGGUGCUUUUGGUGCCAUACAGGUAGUGUCUCCAGAUCUUCAGGGCAAACACAACUGCUCCUAGUUCAAGGUCGUGUGUGGUGUAGUUGACUUCGUGUGUCUUCAGCUGUCUCGAGGCGUAGGCGAUGACCUUACCCCGUUGCAUCAGAACACAAUUGAGCCCUUGAUUUGAUGCAUCACAGUACACAAUGAAAUCUUCUAUCCCCUUGGGGAGGGAUAGUAUUGGUGCAGUGCACAAGGCUCGCUUGAGAGUUUGGAACGCUCUCUCCUGUUUCUCUUCCCAGUCAAAGGCCACGCCUUUCUGGGUCAAUGUUGUAAGGGGUUUCACAAUGCGGGAGAAGUUCUGUAUGAAUCUGCGGUAGUAGCCAACGAGACCUAAAAAUUGACGAAAUUAUUGUAGGCGUCUUCGGUGCUGACCAGUUCUCAAUGGCCUUAAUUUUGGAUGGGUCCACAUGGAUUCCCUCUUCACUUACCACAUGUCCUAAGAAUUCGACUCUUCGGAUCCAAAAUUCACAUUACGAGAACUUCACAUAGAGCUUCUCCGUUCGUAAAGUUACUAGAACUUGUCGCAGGUGAUCACCAUGCUCUUCCUUACUUCGGGAGUAGAUCAGGAUGUCGUCAAUAAAGACAAUGACGAACUGAUCCAAGUAAGGUCGGCAUACUAUAUUCAUCAAAUCCAUGAAGACUGCGGGCGCAUUGGUCAAUCCGAAUGGCAUCACUAUGAACUCGUAGUGUCCGUAACGAGUUCGGAAGGCUGUCUUCGGAACAUCCUCCUCUAAUACUCGUAACUAGUGAUAUCCGGAUCUCAGAUCAAUUUUGGAAAAAUAAUUCGCCCCUUGCAGUUGGUCAAAUAAAUCGUCGAUGCGAGGCAGAGGGUAACGAUUUUUGACCGUCAGUUUGUUGAGUUCCCUGUAGUCGAUACACAUACGGAAUGAUCUGUCUUUCUUCUUAACGAACAAGACCGGUGCUCCCCAAGGUGAGAAACUCGGUCUUAUAAAGCCUUUGCUGAGAAGUUCGUUANGUUCCUGCAUUCAGCUGGUGCUAAUCGGUAUGGCGACUUGGCUACUAGGGUAGCUCCUGGAUUUAAGUCGAUUCUGAACUCGAGCUGUCGUUGUAGAGGUAAUCCUGGUAGCUCUUCUGGAAAGAUGUUGGGAAAUUCGCUCACUACUAGAAUGCCUUUUAUUUCUUUCGUUUCUAGGCUUGUAUCGACAACGUGAGCAAGGAAUGCACGAUAUUCCUUACGAAGAUAUUUUUGUGCUUGAAUACUGGAGAUAAUACGAAGACUUGUACCGGGUUUGUCGCCGUAGAUGACUAGAAUUUCGUUAGACGGGAGGUUUAGACGGACUGCUUUCUCAUAGCAUAAUGUCGGCGCGAUGAAGACUCAACCAAUCCAUGCUGAUGAUAACGUCNGAAGCUUUUUAUUGAAACCGGCAUGAGGUCGAUUGGAAAUGAAUGGUUAUCUAGAGUUAGGUUGCAUCCGAAGUAUAUGCUCCUGGUGCUUUUAGUUUUCCCAUUAUCAAUUUCUACCGUGAAUUGUUCUUUAAGUGCGUGCGGUUGAUGUUUAAGUAUGUGAGCAAAUUUAUGGUUCACGAAGCUUCGCUCCGCUCCACUAUCGAACAGAAUGCAUGCAUAGGAGUUAUCGAGAAGGAACGUACAAGUCACCACCGUCGUGUCAGCAACCGCUUCCCCAUGGCCUAUUGCGAGUACUCUCCCCGCUCCACCUGCAUUCUUUGCUUUGGGGCAGUCCCUCUUAUAGUGGCCCACAUCGCCACAACCAUAGCAAGCCUGGCUUACGCCCAUACCGGGGACAUGGUUAAUCGGCCUCGCCGGAGAUUUACAGAAACGGACAGUGUGUCCUUUCUUGUUGCAAUUAGAGUACUGCAUUUCACGGCAGGGGCCGUUGUGGUAGAAGUUGCAUUUGUUGCACUGAGGUAAACUUCCAGCAUACUGCUUCACCGGAGCAGUAGCAGCAGCAGGGGUUAUCACGGCAUGCACGGCCACAAUUUCUGCUUUUUGGAGCUCGUUGUUUCUUCUUGUCAUCCCAAAACUUCCGCUUAGUGUCAGCAGNAUAGGGGUUAUCGCGGCAUGCACAGCCACAAUUUGCUACUUUUUGGCAGCUCACUGUUUCUUCUUGUCAUCCCAAAACUUCCGCUUAGUGUCAGCGGGUUUGGAUGGUUCCGCGGUGGCUAGGGUUGUUGUUGCUGUUGGGGAUUGGACUCCAUGGUCAAUGAGUCGAUGUGCCAGUCGCUUGGCACUGUCGAAGGUAGUAGGGUUUGAUGAUAGGACAUUUCCCUGAUACGGAGGCACCAGCCCCCAGAUGUACCUCUCGAUCUUCUUCCCUUCAGUGGGAACCAUAUUGGGGCAGAGGGCCACCGGUUCGCUGAAUCUGGCGGUAUAUGCGACUAUGUUGGAGCCCUUCAUGGUUAGGCCCCACAGCUCCUGGUCCAAUUUCUGAAUCUCGCCCCUCGGGCAGUACUCCUCAAUCAUGAGGUCUUUCAUAGUUUACCAGCCCAUGUCGUUGGCUCCGACGAGAGUUAGAGCUUUAACGUGGCCGCUCCACCACGUCAGAGCUUUCCCUUCAAAGGUGCAUGCGGCAUAUUUAACCUUGCUCGCCGCAGGGCAUGAACAAAUUUCGAAGACCGAUUCCGUCUUCUCGAACCAUUGCGAGAGGGAAAUGACUCCGCCGGUCCCAUGAAAGGACUUCGGCUUGCAGUUUGUAAAAUCCUUGUAGGAGCACUCUCUCGUGCGCACAGGGAUUUCAGCGUGAGUAGAUUCAAUAGGGGUUCCACCUCGACUGUUGUCAGUUGAGUGAUAUUGAGCCAUGCUACUGCAGCAUUCAGAGCCGCAGUAUCGAUGACAGGAGGAGGAGGUGGUGGUGGGGUUGGAGGAUUACGUCUUGUUGACUUGUGAGGAGGCAUCUUUCAGCUAUAAGUUUAUAAAGACAAAUACAAUGGUAAGAAUCAAUUGUAAGCAGGGUGAGAGUGACACAUGGACUAAACAGCCAUAGUCCAACAGUUGAAUGAACGUACAAAUUGAGUUUACAAUAGGGAAUAAUAGUAGGAAAAACACAAGUGCAAAGAUUUUCCCACAGAAUAGAUAGUUGUCAAUAUUACUGGUAUUAUUGAUGUAAUAAGUUCGGGGAAAAUCGACCUAGCAGUAGGUCUUACAUCAUACCAUACGAAAAAGUUUGACAGUUUCUAGAUUCCUAAUUAGAGUACUGAAAGUUAGGAAUAUUUUACAGACAAGUGCUACCUAAGGCCCAUAUAUUAAAGGCUAUUCCUUAAACAAAAGACGAAGAUGUGCUAGACAUCUUCUACCGGCGACGAGAAUUCCUAGGGCGAAUCCUCAUAUCUUCCAGUUAACAAACCACUUCUCGGAGGUGUCGUUCGUGAGCUCUUUGGCAAACUCGAAGUUCUGCGACUUCGGUGGUCAAUUGUUGUCAUAGUGCGUCAUUGGUUUUCCUCGUCCCUUCGAGUGCUUCUUCCAGAUGUCGAAUGCGGACGGUGUUAAUGCCUGAGUUGGCAUCAAUUUCCAUGACCCGGUCGAGGGCUGCUCGACCUUGUUCAACGUUACGUGAAAUUCUACGGACCAUGACGGGCAGAGGUCUAUCCGCAGAACCACCUUCGCUAAUGUUGUAAAAGCUUCGGUCCCCAAAGUAAGGUAAGGGUUGACCCUGUUCGUCGCUCCAGCGAUUCAAGUUGUUUACCCACAAGGGUGUGGGACCUAGAAAAGCUGGUCGGGGAUUGUUGUUUGGGGCUUGACCUACGGGAGGUAGAUUAUUGACUUCGGGCUCAGAGUCAGAUCCAUCCGAGAAACCUUCUGCUUGAUGAUCAUCCAAUGGGAUUUGGUGCUCAUCAUCGGACUCUGCUUCGAGCCAUCCUGCGUUGCCUUCGUUUGGAAAGUAUGGGUCGCCAUGAUGAAAUCCAGCCAUGAUAUCUAUGCGAGAAAGGGGAUAUAAGAAUCUUAUGAAAUUAGACGUACUACUAAGAUAAUUAUAAGAUGAUCCAUAUCAAUCAUGUCAAUACUUGUGUAGUGCAUACCAGUUAUAUGAAAGUAGAGUAGGAUAAGGCCUUCGAAUAAGUAGCCCUAACUCCAAAACCACAACCAAACAAGGAACAAGAGGUGAAGCAAAGGUUACAGAGUCUCAGACUAUAACACCUAAUUUCAUACAACCUUGAAGUAUCCACUUAACGACUAUUGACCUAUUUGAUAAUGACCCUUUUAGUUCUCAGAUAAUUGAUUAAAGUAACACAAAAUACUCCUAUAGUAUUUUAAACCUAUGCUAUGUUCUAAUGAUCCUAUUGUAGUAGUGUUGGUAAGUUUUUAGACUUGUUACUAUAUCACAACCAUUCUAGGGCAUAUCCUAAUCACUCCUCGGACCAACAUAGUUGAUCAGGCUAUGCCAUUCCCAAGACUGGCCAUACAUCCCCGAGCUCACUUGUGAUAUCUAACAAUCGCAAUACUUUUGUUCUUGUCAAUGUGACACUGAUUUUAUUAUGAACGCAAACUUGUAUACUUAGUUAAAUAUUUUUGUAUUUAAAGUAUAGACUCUUGGUCAGAGUGUUUUAAUCCCAAAUGGGUUUAUAGUUAGUAUAUCUUUUAUGGGUUGAUAUACUCAAUUCACUAUAAACAAUGCUCUGAUACCAAUCUGUCACACCCCAAAACCAAGAACGGCGGAAACGUUCUGGGGCGGAGGACGUCAUGUAAAGUAUCACAACACAGUAAAAGUAAACAAGCAAACAACAUCAUCCAUUGCAUUAAAUAUAUAAUUUUAAUACAAGCAUGUUCUGUACAGUUAUAGACACCAAAAAUGUAAAUCAAAACAAAGAGAUGAGUCCUGAGUGCGCUCCAUCUUCUGAAAAGCUGGUCUCGGUACCUGUCUACUAAUGACCUGAGAAUACAAGUUAUUUUGAAAGAGUUUAUCAACAUUAAGCUGGUGAGUUCAUAAGUAUUUAGUGUCGGUGUUUGUAUCAAAAUGUUUGAACGUGAUGUUGAAGUAAGAGUCUGUAAUCAUUUGUAAUAAAAGUAUAUAUAUGUUUGUAAGGUUUGUAAAAGUUUGUGAUCUCCUAGAAAAUCCUAUAUUUUCUACUAAAAGUAGCCUUCUACCAAGGCAUAACUGUUUUGUGUGUUUGCUUCUUGUAAACGUGUGUAAUUUUCCCAAGUAUAACUAUCAUUAUCAAAAUAAAGUUUGUACAUUAUUGUUUAAGUGAAAAGAUCACUAAAUAUAUGUAAAGGGUAAAUUAAUGUAGUACUGUAGUGUUGUAUUAUAGGAACUACUGCCGUACUAACUACCUUAAACCGGAUUUAUAUUAAGGUAUCAUGUGAUUAAUUGUACCAUACUAUCGACUGGGUAACAACGACAAAUGUAGGUCGUAAAAAGGUAUGACGUUUGGCACCCGCAGACCUGCAGGUCCGGCUGUAGCUAGCAGCAAGGUGUAGGAUAGUCAAUCCAGUAUAGAUCUAUACGCAAACUCACGCUCUCCCUCCAAGAGACUUCUGGCUACAACUCGGGCCAUGACAUUUAAGGCAUGCUCCGAUACAGUAGAUCACAUUUAUGUAAAUGUAUUCAAGUAUGUGUAAUGUAUUGUUUCUGUUCUAGUAUCAUUAUAUAUGUUCUCUUUCUAGUAUAGUUGAAUAUGUACUCCUUUUAGUAUAGUUGUAUAUGUUCCCUUCUAGUAUAGUUGUAUAUGUUCUCAUAGUAAUAUCAUGUAUAUGUUUUAGUAGUAAUAAGUAUUGACUUAUGAAUGAACUGACUCCUUGUAUGCUUCUUGAAACUAAAAGUAGUAAGUAGUAUANCUUCUUGAAAUAAAAGUAGUAAGUAGUAUAACCCUAAACUAUACCUAUUAUAGUUCAUUAGUAAUUUGAGGGAUGAGUGAAUGUACUGAACUAUGAUAUAAAUCUUUAUGUCUAUACAUACGACACUCGGACAAAUAACCGGGUACUUUAGGACCACAACCAAACAAGGAACAGGAAGUAAAGUGGGUUAUUUCUCCUAAGUCCUUCAAGCUUUAUUUAUAUGACUAUAUAUGCAUCAGGCAUGGUUUUUAACAAUAUAAGAGUUUAAAAACAUGUAAAAUAGUUUAAUAACAGUUUAAAGUCACUUGCUUGGUAAAACAGUUUGAAGUAAU
rnacentral:lncRNA from 1 species